rnacentral:rRNA from 1 species
UGGGGAAUCUUCCGCAAUGGGCGAAAGCCUGACGGAGCAACGCCGCGUGAGUGAAGAAGGCCUUCGGGUCGUAAAGCUCUGUCUUUAGGGACGAAAAGGCAGGAGAGUAAUAUGCUCUUGUUGUGACGGUACCUGAGGAGGAAGCUCCGGCUAACUAAGUGCCAGCAGCCGCGGUAAUACGUAGGGGGCGAGCGUUGUCCGGAAUCAUUGGGCGUAAAGCGCGUGUAGGCGGCUUGGCAAGUCUGGUGUGAAAGCUCGAGACUCAACCUCGAGUCUGCACCGGAAACUGCCUUGCUAGAGUCCGGAAGAGGAGACUGGAAUUCCUGGUGUAGCGGUGAAAUGCGCAGAUAUCAGGAAGAACACCGGUGGCGAAGGCGGGUCUCUGGGACGGUACUGACGCUGAGACGCGAAAGCGUGGGGAGCAAACA